rnacentral:rRNA from 1 species
UACGGAGGGUGCAAGCGUUGUCCGGAUUUAUUGGGUUUAAAGGGUGCGUAGGCGGCCUCUUAAGUCAGUGGUGAAAGCCCGCGGCUCAACCGCGGAACUGCCAUUGAUACUGGGAGGCUUGAGUACAGACGAGGUAGGCGGAAUUGAAGAUGUAGCGGUGAAAUGCUUAGAUAUCUUCAAGAACACCGAUUGCGUAGGCAGCUAACUAGGCCAUAACUGACGCUGAGGCACGAAAGCGUGGGGAGCGAACAGG